AAGAAUCAAACACUGAAUCAAUCAUCCUCAGGUUACUCCUUUUCCUAACAUAUUCUCUCUUCUAAAAUUCCCUUCUAAGAAUUCUCCCAGACCACAGUUUUAUAUUACAUUUGACCACACUUGCUUUGGUAAACAUUUUUGUUUUCCUUAAAACAGUAAAGUGAACCAGACUGGGAAUAAGAUCUGGUCUAACUCUACACACAUUUCAAAAACACCACCACUAUUCAGUAAAAAUGCUUUUUGAGAUUUCUUGUUACUAACACGUCCACUUUGUUCUGCUAAUUUCAACUGCCUCUCUAUACAAAGUCUGUACUAAAUUCGCUGCAGCAGCAUCUCCACGAAUAGAAGACUGUCCUAAAGUCACUGCUGGGGGCAAGCAAGGUGGGCAUCUAGGGUGCAGCCCAAGUGGGACGAAGAGGGAGUCCCCAAGGAGGGCAGCCAGGAAUGGUGAGGAGGAUGCCCACAGGUGGGAGUAGAGGGGGCAUCCAUGCAGGAGGGCAGCUGCACACAUCACAAUGGGACUAGGGAACAGAACCAAUAAGAUGAUGGCAUAUCACAGAAACAGAGUGCCUAGUAGACUCUUCAAUAAAAAUGUGGGGGAAAAUGAUGGAACAAUGCAGAUAAGCUUAGAUGUAUAGCAUCCCACUUCAAAGGCAUGUGAAAGGCCACCUGGACCACCCACUAACCUCACACUCCUAUGAUUUCCACACCACCUUUGAGCAGUUCAUACACUCCUGACAUUGCUGAUUUGUCUUCCUAAAUCUCCACUCAAGCCUCCUUUUAACAGCACUGGCCUAGUAAGAGCAUCAACUUCUCCAACUAGGACUUGCAUCAACACCACUUCCAGUCCCAGCUCUUACCAAAGAGCCAGGCUGUCCAGAACUUUCCUAUGUAAAUCAUAUUGCUUCUAGGUAAAAAUCCCUCAAAAAAUCUCCUCCCUAGGUUACAUCAGCAACGUGGUGGAGUGAGCUGUUCCCUUUAUCUCUCCCCUUCCAACUACAACUAAAUUGACAUUCCUUGAUCAACAGAGGAUACCCACCCAGCACAAGAUAACACCUGAGAGACCCACACAGCUAUACAUCUAUCUGAAGGUGGAUGGACUACCCCGGAAGAGGUGGUGCAGGAAAAAUGAAACAAUAUUAAAAUUAAAUUCUGAUUCCAAAGACGCCAACAGGUAACAGAACAGCAAAAAGUACCAAUAUAAUCUUGAACUAUAAUAAGAGAAGAAAGGUGGCUGAAACGAAGAGAGGACUGAGACUUGAUGAACUCAACCUGAGACAUCUGCUGAGAGCGCGACCAGAGGAAGAGUCAGCAACCCGGAUCCUACCACUGGCUCCACCACUUAGCGCCAUCCGUAAAAUGGGGACACAGCUUUCCUCUUGGGUUGCUGUGAGGACUGAAUGACACAGGAGCACGGGGGACAUUUUACUACAGUGCAUGCCACAGAGGCUCAACAAAUGCUCACUGUCCUUCACAUUCCAUUCUGGGCACCAUUAUUUAAGAUGGCCAUUGCGACCACCGAGAACAUACCCAGGAAGGCAAGAGAUGAAAAGAAACCCGGAAAUCCAACCAUCUGAAAAACACUUGCAGCAACGAGGCAAGUUUAACUUCGACUGGGACAGUAACGGAGGCAGGAUGACUGAGCACCUAAAAGACUCAUACGGAAGUCAACUCAUUUAGCAGAGUACAGGAAAACGAAGCUUAAAAAAGUACAGGGAGGCAGACUGCCAGCUCUCUGUUAGAAAGAACAACAUGUUCAAAAAUGGAAUAAAUCGCUUUUGAAAGUUACUGCAAGCGCUCAAAGGAGAAAAAAAAACACAAACAGGAAAUACUUAAAAGGUCUUCCCCAGCACAAUAAAGGCAUCAGAAAUGCCAUUACACUUC